UUUAUCAGCCUUUUUGUAGAGAUAUUAACUAUAAAGAGAAAACUCUCUUUCUGAAUUUUGGCAGUUUUCUUGCUGUAACGGUUGGAUAGGUAGGAGAAUCUGAUCUCUAUGCUUUUUUUGUCUUUUUACUCACUAUAUUUCGCUGUAUUUCUUCAUUUUUUAUUUUCCUGUUCAGGCUUUGGUUUCUCAAAAAGAUUUAGGAUGAGAUGAAGUGAAUUGUAACAGAAGUAUGUAGGAAUAUAUCAGAAAUAUUAUUAGAUUGCUUCAAGGUUUGCUAAUUUUACAAUGUUGAUUACUGUCCGAAAGAGCUUCCAGUACAAGUUGAUUUGUUAUACUGACUGGAUGCCUAAAAACUAUAGUCUAGUAUGCAAAUGGAGAUACUCCUGCACCAAGGGAAUCAUGAGUAGAGCUUACUGCCGAUCAAGGCUGGUGCUAAAUGAUCUUCAAAGCAAUGAAAUUUGGAGGUAUGGUAACAAUCCAAGUGCAGUUUCCUAUGGUGUUAUGAAUUAUGCGGGCAACUUUGUGCUUGAAGUAAUGGAUCUUAUGACUUACGUGACAACUUCAGUCAUCCUUCAAAUACCUUGCCAGCGGCACAAACAAUGGAUACUGAAGGAGAACUUUUUUUUCUAAGCAAACUGAGCUGUUUCAGCUACAUUAUUUUGAUGAUGGAAAUCUUGUCCUAAUGCUGUUGAUGAGGAUAGGAAAUUGCCAUAUGCUGACUUUGAAACUUGAACUCAAUGAUAGUAAUUCAUCAAAUUUUGUUGUUUGAGUGAUCUUCAAUGAGUCAGACUACAUGUACAAAUUGAGAAUAUUGGCCAAAGGUUUGAUCUCAUUGUUGUAAAGCCAACUCCAACAUCAAAUUUCUAUCAUAGAGCAGUACUCAA